AGGAUGACAGACAGACACUAGUGACCGACAACUUACAAACAUACAGCAGCGUUGUUGCCCCAGGAAUCCAUGUCUACCCAUUCAGCUUUCAGUUCCCCUUCCAGGAUUUACCCUCCUCCUUCAAAGGUGCUGAUGGUAAAAUUGUGUACUCGCUGGAAGCCGUGCUGAGCAGAUCAAUGAGGAUGAACACGAAACGUUCAACUAUGGUCAACUUUGUGUCAACGACAAAUGUGAACAGUAUAUCUUGGUUACAGACACCGCUGCAUGACUCUAAGGAUAAGAAAAUGAACAUUUUUACCUCAGGAAGUGUAGCCAUGGAUGUUAAUCUUGAAAAAAUGGGCUUCCGACAAGGAGAAGGAUUAAAAGUUGUGGCCUUCAUUAAGAACAGUUCAUCUCGUGAGAUCAAGCCCAAGUACUGUUUGUACAGAAAGCACAGUUUCUUUGCAAGAGGGAAGAGAAGGGUCCAUACUAAAGACCUCUUGAAAGAGGUGGGAGACGCCAUCCCGCCAUCUGCAGAAGAAACCGUCACAAGGGUCAUCAUCAUUCCCCGUGACGUGGAGCCCUCGAUCCUCAACUGCAACAUCAUCAAAGCUGAGCACAGACUCAGGGUGUACCUUGACGUAAAAUAUGCUUCAGAUCCAGAGAUCAAGUUUCCUGUAGCCAUCCUGCCAGCCUUCCAGGCCUAUCCUGCAGUGCCACCACACUAUCCUGCUGCUGCUGCUGCUACCCCCUUUGGAUUCAACCCGAACCCGAACCCUCCAGUGUGGGGUUUUGAGCCACAACAACCAAUAGCAGCUCCCCAACCGUCAGAUCCCCCUCCUCCUUAUGGAGCAUAUGCAAUGUACCCUCCAUUGCCAGAUUUUGAGAAUAAAUCCUAGCAACAGGUCUGACCAGAUGUUUUGCCAGGAAAUGGUGUGAAAACACCGAGAAGCAUACUGUGGUCAUUAAGAGCCACUCUAGUGUUCACCAAGCACUUCUGUGGCUAUAGACUAUACCAAAUCCCUAUAGUGUGUGUUUAACUGCCUCAUAUAGGAGUAUCUGCUCCUGAUUGUUUCUUUUUUAUUUAACACUUGAUAUCUUAAGUGCCUGCGUGUUACAGACAGACGACUGAAUAAAAGGGACAAAAUGUAAAACAUUGCAUUUAUCACAGGAACAAGUAAUGCUGUUUGACUGGUUUGUUUUACACCUAAAAGCCUUUCUGAAAAGUAAAGAGAAAAAUAUUUUCCAUUCACUGGUUAACAACAUUACAACAUCAAGCUGGUGUUUGGCGGAUUAAAUCUUUGAAAUGAAGUUUUGUAUGAUAAUAAACUUUUUUUUUUUUUAAGGCAAUAAACCUCUUUGGUUUUUGGAUUUAUUUACUUAUUUUUGGUUUGUUUUUUGUGGCGUAACACAAAACAUGAAGCUGACAUAACUAGACAUCUUUUACUUUGAGUUAAUUGCUUUUAAUUCAUGGGGCCAUCAAAAUAUUGACUGCAACAUUUUUCUUCCUGGUAUUUUUUAGGUUUUGCCAGUGUUUCCAGAUUAAUUUUGACUAUUUAGACAGUUGACAAUUUCUGGUAAGAUGGGUCAUUAACACUAACUUACCUAGCACGUGUUUCCCCAGGAAAAGUUGAUACCUUUCUUUUUGUAUUAUUUCUUAACCUACUGUGAAUAUUAUAGUGAUGUUAGUGACAAUAACAAAGAAGAAUUUUUUUAAUGUUCUUUGUGGAACUUCCCCUAAAUUUAUGCUAUCAAAAUAUAUGAAAAGAUGUCUCCUAAGCCUUGGUAAUCCCCCCAAAAGGCCCUUUUGUCAUCUCUCUGAAAAAGGGGGUCUAUUGUUAAUGUUACUUCUCAUCACUUCUGCUUAGGAUUUCAAAGGGUUAAACAUGGCAUGUAAUGGGCAUCACGUGGAAGAUUUACUGUAGGUGUGGUGAAAUAUAUCAUGUGAUGCAGCCAGCAUGUGGCAGUCACACCUACAAUAAAAAAUAAAUAAAGAGAAACAAGGUGGUAUUUUUCGCUGCCCCAAUAUGUGGUUGUGAAGAGACCAUGCUGGUUAUCCAGAGAGUGUGUGUGUCUUGACUGUCUCAAAUCAUUCAUAAUGUAAUCUCAUGUAAAACUCCGUCGAGUUUCCAUAGCUGAAAAUCUUUUAGUGGUACUGCUUUGAGAGGGUGUAUGAUACAAGAAAAACUGGUUUCACAACAUUUGCAUACUUGAAAGCAGAUAUAACCGGCAGAGAGUGGCUGCGCUGGGCACAACUCGCCUGAGUUUUCUCUUGGUUUUUGCAACAGAUUUUUGUUUUCCCCCACUUUUUGUCAUCCAUUGAAAAUGACCAUUAAAAAAUUCUCAAUCGAAUACGAUGCCAUCAACAGCAAAAACACCUUCACGAAUGGAGAUAUCAUUAACGGAAGAAUUAUUGUGGAGGUGUCUGGUGAAACCAAAAUCCAAUCGCUGAUUUUUAGAGGACAAGGAAGAGCGAAGACUGUUCAAAACAACACCUACUUCUUUUCCAGGCACUGAAGUCAUUGGAAAAGGAAGACACGUGUAUCCUUUUUCGUUCAGGAUUCCUGAUGGAAUACUGCCAUCAACCUAUAAAGGACCCCAUGGAAAAAUAGUUCAUAAGGUAAAAGCAGAGCUGAAACAAUCAAUGAAGAUUACAAAAAAAACUAAGGCCCACUUCACUUUUGUGUCCAAGGCAGACAUGGGUAUUCCUGGACUUCUGGAACCUCAGUAUACUCAUAAGGAUAAAUCUGUUUUGGGCUCUGGAAAGGUUUCAGUAGAUGUCCAUACCACUCAGAUGGGAUACAUGCAAGGUAAUUAUCUUUACUUGGCUUACUGC